rnacentral:rRNA from 1 species
UACGGAGGGUGCAAGCGUUAUCCGGAUUCACUGGGUUUAAAGGGUGCGUAGGUGGGUCUGUAAGUCAGUGGUGAAAUCUCCGGGCUUAACCCGGAACUGCCAUUGAUACUAUAGGUCUUGAAUACUCUGGAGGUAAGCGGAAUAUGUCAUGUAGCGGUGAAAUGCUUAGAUAUGACAUAGAACACCAAUGCGAAGGCAGCUUACUACGG